UGACUUUUUUUGACAAAGGAAAUAAGGUAGAAAGAAGAUGCUAACUAAUUUAGUUCUCGACCCCAUGGUAGGUAGCCCUGAUUUUACUUGCAUCGUCUUCUGUUACUCUGAGGAACCCCAGUGACCUUGAAACUUUAAUCCCAGUUUGAAUCGCCUUUUCGUCACCCAAUCGGAAAUAAAAGAACGUCUAAAAUCCAAUUAAAGAUAUUCACACAUGCACUCGGCUCGAUUACAGCCUGGGGGCGACGACUCCAUUCCUGCUAUCGUGCUGUGAGCUAGCUUAGCGAGUCGCACACCUAGGUAACCCAAGAGAGAAAGCCCAAGCUAUCAAAAAGAUUGAGCUUAGAUCACAACAGGGAGAGAAUACCAAAGAAUCUUUAUAAAAUCUAAGUCUGUUGGUGGUAUCCGUGUUUCCCUGCUAGCAAACGCUCGGGAGAAUUCUGCUAGCAGUUAACAUCCGCGGGAUCUUUCCGGACAAAAUGGCCUAAGUGGAUAAACUAGGAAUGAAUAUUCUAAACGCCUAGCUUUAUUUAGCAGAUUGCGGGGAUAGUUUCCACGGGUUGUCUGAUUAAGCAGGUUGCUUCAAGUCACACAAUGGAUUGACUUAACUUUUUUUAAGUACUCCUCGAAUAUUUUAACAAUUUCGAAGGGGUGAGUUUUCACCUUUGGAAAUACCUUAUUGACAAACUCCCUCCCAAAUACCCGUAAAAGUAAAAACCCGCUACCUGAUGGCUCUGAAAUAUGCUAUAAGCUCUUCUACAGACUAGAGUUUUAACUACCCAAGAGGUCAAUUGCGCUUUUUUUUCUGUUUCCGGCUCGCCAGACAAGAAGGCGCCUCCUUUCGACCUCCUGUACGCCCCUGUGUUUUGUUUUGGUUUAUUGAUUGUGUAUCCGUUGUUAAACCUAAACCCCAUACUUCCUUAUUUCAAGUAAUUUUCGACUUAUUAUUGGCAA